CACUCCAGCCUCAAUUCUGCAUGACCCGCUGGAGAAGCUGGAGCCCUUUGCCAUGGAGCUGCUCUUGCAUCUGGCCCAGGACUCCGAGAAACAAAUGGAGGAGAUCUGGCAGAAGCUGGAGGUCCCACACUUAU
rnacentral:lncRNA from 13 species